GGCCUCCACUAGACUGGGGCUGCGCGCGCGCACUGGGAGAACUCGGGACCCGCCCCGCCCCGCCCCGGAUGCGAAAGGAGCCGAGCGUGCGGCGGAAGCGUCCGAAGGGUCCUCCGGUCCUUGGCGCCCCGUUGCCGGGGAGGAGGCCCAGCCGCCGGCAAGGGGGCGCCGGGCUGCUGUUGGGAGAAGGAGGGGCUUCCCCUUCAUGCGGCCCCGCGGGCCUGCCUUCACCAAGCAACAUCACUGGAGUAGUAGCGGAACGGCUGGUGUCCGGUAGCCGCGUCGAGUAGACGCCUGGUGCUGCGCCCUGGCUGCACCCCCUCGAACCUUAUUUUCUGGUGGGUCCUUCGCGUGGUCACCUCCAACAAACUAAUACUCCUCGGGAGCACCAGUAGGUCCGCUGGUGCAAUAAGUCUGAUUGCUCAGAAUCCACACACCGCAGCGUGGAGGCCAAGAAAAGAGAAAUGGAAAAGGCUGGAUCUUUUGCUCAAGGAAAUUCAGCUGGAUUGACCAAAGAACUCGUUGAUCUAUGAUGAGCAAUGUGUCAUGACAGAUAAAACUAUGACAGGGCCUCCUUCCCCCCAUUACCUGAUGCUUACUGCUUCCGGGAACUACCACCUGUUUGUUUGCUCACUGCUGUCUGGCUAUCAGGCAUGGCCUAGAAGGCUGGAGUUCCUCCCACAAACACCUGGAGCUGAGACUUCCCCACCCCAGCUGCCACUCAGUCCAUGGUAAAUCUUCUCCAUCUUGUGCAGUUCAGCACCCUCACCACCCUGCCUUCCUCUGUCCUGAG